ACUCCUGUAGCCCAAUUGGAAGAGGCCGCUAUCUCAAAAACAGUCAAUGUGUGAGUACUCUUCGAGAACGCUAACGCGAACAAGUCUCACCAGGAGUACCA
rnacentral:tRNA from 1 species